AUUGAACGCUGGCGGCAGGCCUAACACAUGCAAGUCGAGCGGCGGCGGACGGGUGCGUACUGCCUAGGAAUCUGCCUGUGAGUGGGGGAUAACGUCCGGAAACGGGCGCUAAUACCGCAUACUAUCAGCUGAGCCUAGAUGGGAUUAGCUAGUAGGUGGGGUAACGGCUCACCUAGGCGACGAUCCCUAGCUGGUCUGAGAGGAUGACCAGCCACACUGGAACUGAGACACGGUCCAGACUCCUACGGGAGGCAGCAGUGGGGAAUAUUGCACAAUGGGCGCAAGCCUGAUGCAGCCAUGCCGCGUGUAUGAAGAAGGCCUUCGGGUUGUAAAGUACUUUCAGCGGGGAGGCGUUACCCGCAGAAGAAGCACCGGCUAACUCCGUGCCAGCAGCCGCGGUAAUUC
rnacentral:rRNA from 1 species